UUGUUUAUCAGGAAAAGAUCUAUCUGCCCUGAAAUUUUCAGAUGAAUCGGACAACCCGUUGUUGGGUUGCUGCCCCUGAAUUGGUAAUUUUAAGGAAAUUUUGCAGUUUUUGGUUAUUAUCUUGAAUAUUAUUAUAGAUAGAGGUAAACUGUAAACAGCAAUAAUGUUCAGCAAAGUAAGAUCUACAAAUAAGUCACCUUGACCAAAAUGGUCAGUUGACCCCUUAAGGAGUUAUUGCCCUUUAUAGUCAAUUUUUAACCAUUUUUCGUAAAUUUUUGUAAUCUUUUACAAAAAUCUUCUCCUCUGAAACUACUAAGACAAAUUUAACCAAACUUGUCCACAAUCAUCAUUAGGGUAUCUAGUUUAAAAAAUGUGUCCAAUGACCCCGCCCGCGAACCAAGAUGGCCGACAUGGCUAAAAAAUAUUACAUAGGGUAAAAUGCAGUUUUUGGCUCAUAUCUCUGAAACCAAAGCAUUUAGAGCAAAUCUGAUGAGUAUAAAAUUGUUCAUUAGGUCAAGAUCUAUCUGCCCUGAAAUUUUCAGACCAAUCAGGCAACCCGUUGUUGGGUUGCUGCCCCUGAAUUGGUAAUUUUAAGGAAAUUUUGCCGUUUUUGGUUAUUAUCUUGAAUAUUAUUAUAGAUAGAGAUAAACUGUAAACAGCAAUAAUGUUCAGCAAAGUAAGAUCUACAAAUAAGGCAACAUGACCAAAAUUGUCAAUUGACCCCUUAAGGAGUUAUUGCCCUUUAUAGUCAAUUUUUUACAAUUUUCAUAAAUUUUGUAAAUUUUUGUAAAUUUUUAAAAGUAUUUUCCACUGUAACUACCGGGCCAAGUUAAUUAUAGAUAGAGAUAAUAGUAAGGAGCAAGAAUAUUCAGUAAAGUAAGAUCUACAAACACAUCACCAUCACCAAAACACAAUUUUGUCAUGAAUCCAUCUGUGUCCUUUGUUUAAUAUGCACAUAGACCAAGGUGAGCGACACAGGCUCUUUAGAGCCUCUAGUUUUUUUCUUUUAAAAUUUUCCAUUUUAAGUUGGUUAUUUCUGAUUUAUAUUUAAAAGCAAAUAAUAAUGAUAUGGUAGGAGAUACACACCAAACAGGAUGUGUAAAUUAUUAUAUAAUAAGUAUUGUGCAAUAGCAAGAAAUUUUCAAUUGCACAGUAUUGCACAAUAGCAAGAAAUCUUCAAUUGCACAGUAUUGCGCAAUAGCAAGAAAUCUUCAAUUGCACAGUAUUGCGCAAUAGCAAGAAAUAUCCAAUAGCACAAUAUUGUGCAAUAGCAAGAAAUUGUCAAUUGUACAGUAUUGCGCAAUAGCAAGAAAUAUUUAAUUGCACAGUAUUGUGCAAAAGAAGAUACUUCGUAUAAAUUGCUUAUUUCUUGACCAAUUUCAAAGGGGUUUUCUUCUUGAAUUCUUGGGGUUCUUUAAUAUGCUGAAUCUAACCGUGUAUUUAGUUUUUGGAUUUUGGGCCCCGUUUUUAAAUUGGUCCACAUUGAGGUCAAAAGGGUCCAAAAUUAAACUUUGUUUGAUUUCAUCAAAAAUUGAAUUAUUGGGGUUCUUUGAUAUGCCGAAUCUAACCGUGAAUUUAGAUUCUUAAUUUUUGGUUCCGUUUUCAAAUUGGUCUACAUUAAGGUCAAAAGGGUCCAAAAUUAAACUUUGUUUGAUUUCAUCAAAAAUUGAAUUCUUGGGGUUCUUUGAUAUGCUGAAUCUAACCAUGUAUUUAGAUUUUGGAUAUUAGACCAUAAUAGGUGAAUGUCCAAUUUAGAAUUUUUAAGUUCUUAGACCACAUUCAUUCUGUGUCAGAAACCUAUGCUGUGUCAAAUAUUUAAUCACAAUCCAAAUGCAAAGCUGUAUCAAGCUUGAAUGUUGUGUCCAUACUUGCCCCAACUGUUCAGGGUUCGACCUCUGCGUAUCAAGCUGCGCCCUGCGGAGCAUUUUAUUGAGAAAUAAAAUAUCAAAUUUUAUAACCAAACCGGUCAGUGUCAUCAGCCAAAGUAUU